rnacentral:tRNA from 1 species
GAUAGCUCAGUCGGUAGAGCAGAGGACUGAAAAUCCUCGUGUCACCAGGUUCAA